rnacentral:rRNA from 1 species
UGCAGUCGACGGUGAACACGGAGCUUGCUCUGUGGGAUCAGUGGCGAACGGGUGAGUAACACGUGAGCAACCUGCCCCUGACUCUGGGAUAAGCGCUGGAAACGGCGUCUAAUACUGGAUAUGUGACGUGACCGCAUGGUCUGCGUCUGGAAAGAAUUUCGGUUGGGGAUGGGCUCGCGGCCUAUCAGCUUGUUGGUGAGGUAAUGGCUCACCAAGGCGUCGACGGGUAGCCGGCCUGAGAGGGUGACCGGCCACACUGGGACUGAGACACGGCCCAGACUCCUACGGGAGGCAGCAGUGGGGAAUAUUGCACAAUGGGCGCAAGCCUGAUGCAGCAACGCCGCGUGAGGGACGACGGCCUUCGGGUUGUAAACCUCUUUUAGCAGGGAAGAAGCGAAAGUGACGGUACCUGCAGAAAAAGCGCCGGCUAACUACGUGCCAGCAGCCGCGGUAAUACGUAGGGCGCAAGCGUUAUCCGGAAUUAUUGGGCGUAAAGAGCUCGUAGGCGGUUUGUCGCGUCUGCUGUGAAAUCCGGAGGCUCAACCUCCGGCCUGCAGUGGGUACGGGCAGACUAGAGUGCGGUAGGGGAGAUUGGAAUUCCUGGUGUAGCGGUGGAAUGCGCAGAUAUCAGGAGGAACACCGAUGGCGAAGGCAGAUCUCU